rnacentral:rRNA from 1 species
AGUGAACGCUGGCGGUAGGCCUAACACAUGCAAGUCGAACGGCAGCACAGUAAGAGCUUGCUCUUACGGGUGGCGAGUGGCGGACGGGUGAGGAAUACAUCGGAAUCUACUUUUUCGGGGGGGAUAACGUAGGGAAACUUACGCUAAUACCGCAUACGACCUACGGGGGAAAGCAGGGGAUCUUCGGACCUUGCGCGAUUGAAUGAGCCGAUGUCGGAUUAGCUAGUUGGCGGGGUAAAGGCCCACCAAGGCGACGAUCCGUAGCUGGUCUGAGAGGAUGAUCAGCCACACUGGAACUGAGACACGGUCCAGACUCCUACGGGAGGCAGCAGUGGGGAAUAUUGGACAAUGGGCGCAAGCCUGAUCCAGCCAUACCGCGUGGGUGAAGAAGGCCUUCGGGUUGUAAAGCCCUUUUGUUGGGAAAGAAAAGCGGCAGGUUAAUACCCCGCUGUUCUGACGGUACCCAAAGAAUAAGCACCGGCUAACUUCGUG